rnacentral:rRNA from 1 species
CCUACGGGAGGCAGCAGUCGGGAAUUUUGCGCAAUGGGCGAAAGCCUGACGCAGCAACGCCGCGUGAGGGAUGAAGGCCUUCGGGUUGUAAACCUCUUUUCUCAGGGACGAUAAUGACGGUACCUGAGGAAUAAGCCACGGCUAACUACGUGCCAGCAGCCGCGGUAAUACGUAGGUGGCGAGCGUUGUCCGGAUUUACUGGGCGUAAAGAGCGCGCAGGCGGUCGUGCAGGUCGCGUGUGAAAGCCCCCGGCUCAACUGGGGAGGGUCACGCGAUACUGCUCGACUUGAAGGCAGGAGAGGGAAGCGGAAUUCCCGGUGUAGUGGUGAAAUGCGUAGAUAUCGGGAGGAACACCAGUGGCGAAGGCGGCUUCCUGGCCUGUUCUUGACGCUGAGGCGCGAAAGCUAGGGGAGCAAACGGG